UCAACCUCAGAUCAAGUAGGAUUACCCGCUGAACUUAAGCAUAUCAAUAAGCGGAGGAAAAGAAACCAACAGGGAUUGCCUAAGUAACGGCGAGUGAAGCGGCAAAAGCUCAAAUUUGAAAUCGGCCUCCAGGUCGAGUUGUAAUUUGUAGAUUGUAUCUUGAGAGCGGAUUAAAGUCUGUUGGAACACAGCGCCUUAGAGGGUGACAGCCCCGUAAAAUCUAUUCUCAUUGUAAGAUACUUUCGAAGAGUC
rnacentral:rRNA from 1 species